AAAUAUUGGUCACAAACCAGAAAGGAGUUGCACUGACUCGUGGGGCAGCAGGCUCUGGAGACAGCCAUCAGCAGGAGAGCUUGGAAGCAGCAAACUGCGAGGUGCCUGAGACAGCACACAGCCUGAUAGAGCUGCUGGUAAAGCUUCAGGUGUGAUUUCACCCACGGAUGGCAUUUAGCCUGUGGUCCACGGGGAUCGAAAAGCCAGCAGCAGAGAGCACUAUGGCAUCAUCUCCAAAAGAGAGACAGCUGUUGGAAACACGUCUAGCAACCAAGCCAAGUGGGCCAGACAACAGAGGUCUGAAAGAUGUCCAAGAUCCUGACCUCCUUUCUGAACCGGCAAAGAAAAUUGGCUCACUCUGAGGUGAGUUGCUGAGUUUUAGCCUCUCUCCUGCCCAACUGAUUUAGAAGAGCACAUGAGGUAGAAAAAGGGGACAUGCACUGAAGGCACCAUUAGUACGCUGCUGC